CCUACGGGAGACAGCAGUGGGGGAUAUUGCACAAUGGGGGGAACCCUGAUGCAGCGACGCCGCGUGGGUGAAGGAGCGUUUCGGCGCGUAAAGCCCUAUCGGCAGGGAAGAAGGAGGACGGUACCUGACUAAGAAGCCCCGGCGAACUACGUGCCAGCAGCCGCGGUAAUACGUAGGGGGCAAGCGUUAGACGGAUUUACUGGGUGUAAGGGGGGCGCAGACGGCAGCGCAAGCCAGGAGUGAAAGCCCGGGGCCCAACCCCGGGACUGCUCUUGGAACUGCGCGGCUGGAGUGCAUGAGGGGCAGGCGGAAUGCCUGGUGUAGCGGUGAAAUGCGUAGAUAUCAGGAGGAACACCAGUGGCGAAGGCGGCCUGCUGGACUGCGACUGACGUUGAGGCCCGAAAGCGUGGGGAGCAAACAGGAUUAGAUACCCCAGUAGUC
rnacentral:rRNA from 1 species